AGCGGGAGAGGGUCUGCACUCGCUGCCGCUGCUCCACACCCCAAGAGUCCCCACACCCCAGCGCUCGGAGCUCCAGGAAGCGGGAGAGGGUCCCCAGUUAGACCUUGAGUAGGGAGGGAGUUGGGUGGUCGACAGAUUGGGCUCAGUGAUCGUAACCCGUCCCUGGAGGCAGCUUUCUGAGAGUCCAACCCCUUCCCUGGAGGAUGAAAAUUCCGUAGGGAGGACAGCUCCUUGAGACUGAAUUUAUUCAUCUGAGGAUACACAUUGGGUGAGAGGCUCCUGAAGAUCUUCUGAACCAACUUUCACCAAGUUCUCUGACUCCCUUGAGUGACGACUCAGAGAUUUUCUCCCUGCAUCCAUCUCUCCUCCACCAGUGCAAGAUCAACCAGUCUGCAUUAGUCUACAUCUGUUGUUCAAGAAGACCAGUUACUAAUACAUAAACUCAUGAAUGCGACAUCAAGCCCUAUCCGACAUGCUCACCACUUUUUUGAUAUUAUCCUUCGAAAUCUCCCCGCAUAUUUCCCUUCUAACACCCAAGAGAUCACCAGUUCCCAACUUAGAGAUUUCAUUCUUGAUCUCUUUCUCCAGGGUGAUCUUAUGGAUUUCACUUGGGAUGAAGUAAUGCAGUUCCUGGAACUUCCAUAAAAUAUGCCAUUAUGUCUCUCCUUACAAUAAAAGUGGAUCUGGA
rnacentral:lncRNA from 1 species